AUGCUCGCUUCGGCAGCACAUAUACUAAAAUUGGAACGAAACAGAUUAGCAUGGCCCCUGCGCAAGGAUGACAUGCAAAUUAGUGAAGCAUUUUAUAUUUUU